rnacentral:lncRNA from 1 species
AGAUGGGGGAGACUCGGUCUAUCCACAAACUGAUGCAACUGAGUGAAUAGAUGGAUGCAAUCAUCUCUCCUAGCUUCCCUGCCCUUGUGUUGCCAGGUUCUGGGGGCCUGUGGGCUCUUUCCAGAGAUUCUUUCCAGGUUCUUGUCCUGAACAAAGAACUGGAUAAGACAAAUGAAGCUUUACAUUCGUGAAAGGCUGACAUCAGACUCGCUUGAUUUCACAACAGAACUGAAGACAGCGCUUCCUGAUUGGCCCCAGGUGCAGGGCUCAGGAACUGUUUUUCUGCGCAUGUGUUCUGGAUCUCCUCGAUUGACAGGUCAUGCCCACUUGCUCAGCCGGCUGGCCACGCCCUAGUCUUGCCUCACUUGGACAUGGAACUCAGUGUUCUCAAUGUGCCUGUUGGCAUUCCCUGUCUGUCUGCCCUUCUCUGUAUUAUCCAUUUCUCCCUCCAUCCUCUGCACCCCGUGGUACCUAUGCAGGUUGGUGUCAUGAAGAUGUGGG